GACGUAGGGCGCGAGCGUUGUCCGGAUUUAUUGGGCGUAAAGAGCUCGUAGGCGGUCUGUCGCGUCGGCUGUGAAAACUCGGGGCUCAACCCCGAGCCUGCAGUCGAUACGGGCAGACUAGAGUUCGGUAGGGGAGACUGGAAUUCCUGGUGUAGCGGUGAAAUGCGCAGAUAUCAGGAGGAACACCGGUGGCGAAGGCGGGUCUCUGGGCCGAAACUGACGCUGAGGAGCGAAAGCGUGGGGAGCGAACAGG
rnacentral:rRNA from 1 species